CGACGAUAGAAAAUAGCAGAAGUUGUCAGAGAUGCGCACACCCCUCGUCACGCGCCUCUUGGCUAGCAAGUUGUGUAGAACUUUGCUCGAGGACAUUCCGGCAACCAUCUGUUUCCGGAAGAACUCUGAGCGCAGGGCAGGAAGCAGAGUUCGCAAAUUUGCGGGGAAAGGUGGUUGUCUGCCAAUACGCCUGUUACUGUGAAAAUGCUCCGUUUGAUUUAUUUUCUCUCUCCACUCAACUUUUCUAAAGACUUAACAGGAGAGAUCAAAAACAUGCAUAUUUGAGCGAGACAGAGACAGACAGAGAGAGCGAGAGAAACAUAGAGAGAGAGAGAUGGCUAGAGGAAGAUUGAGCAAGAUGGAAGGAAGAGAGACCAGGGAAAGUACAGGCAAGGACACCUACCUUUUGUCAUUGACCCCUGACCUGUGUGUCUGGGCAUUGACUGUCUCUUCUCCCCUCAUGUCACUGGAGCUCCCUGUCAAUACUUACCUGGUUUAGACACCAUCCCUCAGCGCUGUGGUCAGAGAGUGGGGGAGACCAGAUGCACUGGAGCACCAGGAGAGGAAGAGGAGGAAGGUGGAGGGAGAGAGGGGGAGGGAGAAACAUAGAGAUGGGGAGCAGUGAAAGGGAUCAAGAUCGAGCAUGUUUAAAAAAAAGGGGUGAAAAUGAGAGCGAGAGAAGUUU
rnacentral:lncRNA from 1 species